GUGAGGUUCUUGACAUCACAGCGAGCUGGUUAAACCAAACAAAGGAGGAGAGGGGUGGAAGACAGAAACCACACACAUAUACCUGCAAAUGUGACUUGGUCUGUUUUUUUCCCCCAUUUAAUCAGGGAUUGUUGUCUGAGAUUCUGCGUAAGGAAGAAGACCCUCGGACAGCCUCUCAGUCUCUUCUAGUAAACCUGAGGGCCAUGCAGAAUUUCCUCAAUCUGCCAGAAGUGGAGCGAGAUCGCAUCUACCAGGAUGAGAGGGAGCGGAGCAUGAAUCCCAAUGUGAGCAUGGUCUCCUCGGCCUCCAGCAGUCCCAGCUCCUCCCGAACCCCUCAGGCCAAAACCUCGACACCGACAACAGACCUCCCUAUUAAGGUGGACGGCGCCAACAUCAACAUCACAGCUGCCAUUUAUGACGAGAUCCAACAGGAGAUGAAAAGGGCCAAGGUGUCUCAAGCCCUGUUUGCCAAAGUGGCUGCAAAUAAAAGUCAGGGCUGGCUGUGUGAACUGCUCCGCUGGAAGGAGAACCCAAGCCCAGAAAACCGCACCCUCUGGGAAAACCUCUGUACCAUCCGUCGGUUCCUGAACCU
rnacentral:sRNA from 1 species